GACGAACGCUGGCGGCGUGCCUAACACAUGCAAGUCGAGCGAGUGGAGUUCUUCGGAACAAAGCUAGCGGCGGACGGGUGAGUAACACGUGGGCAACCUGCCUCAUAGAGGGGAAUAGCCUCCCGAAAGGGAGAUUAAUACCGCAUAAGAUUGUAGCUUCGCAUGAAGUAGCAAUUAAAGGAGCAAUCCGCUAUGAGAUGGGCCCGCGGCGCAUUAGCUAGUUGGUGAGGUAACGGCUCACCAAGGCGACGAUGCGUAGCCGACCUGAGAGGGUGAUCGGCCACAGUUGGGACUGAGACACGGCCCAGACUCCUACGGGAGGCAGCAGGUGGGGAAUAUUGCACAAUGGGGAAACCCUGAUGCAGCAACGCCGCGUGAGUGAUGACGGCCUUCGGGUUGUAAAGCUCUGUCUUCAGGGACGAUAAUGACGGUACCUGAGGAGGAAGCCACGGCUAACUACGUG
rnacentral:rRNA from 1 species